rnacentral:rRNA from 1 species
CCUACGUGUGGCUGCAGUGGGGAAUAUUGGGCAAUGGGCGCAAGCCUGACCCAGCAACGCCGCGUGAAGGAAGAAGGCUUUCGGGUUGUACACUUCUUUUCUGAGGGACGAAGAAAGUGACGGUACCUCAGGAAUAAGCCACGGCUAACUACGUGCCAGCAGCCGCGGUAAUACGUAGGUGGCCAGCGUUAUCCGGAUUUAUUGGGGGUAAAGGGCGUGUAGGCGGGAAAGCAAGUCAGAGGUGAAAACUCAGGGCUCAACCCUAAGCCUGCAUUUGAAACUGUUUUUCUUGAGUGCUGAGGAGGCAAUCGGAAUGCCGUGUGUAGCGGUGAAAUGCGUAGAUAUACGGAGGAACACCAGUGGCGAAGGCGGAUUGCUGGACAGUAACUGACGCUGAGGCGCGAAAGCGUGGGGAGCAAACAGGAUUAGAUACCCUUGUAGUC